rnacentral:rRNA from 1 species
AGAGUUUGAUCAUGGCUCAGAACGAACGCUGGCGGCGUGCUUAACACAUGCAAGUCUUACGGGAAAGUUUUCUUCGGAGAGCGAGUACAGUGGCGCACGGGUGAGUAACGCGUGGGUAACCUACCCUUCAGUCUGGAAUAACAUUUCGAAAGGGAUGCUAAUACCGGAUACGUUCAUGGCGGCUUUGGCCGUUAUGAAGAAAGAUGGCCUCUAUACUAUGCUGUCGCUGAUGGAUGGGCCCGCGUACCAUUAGCUUGUUGGUAGGGUAACGGCCUACCAAGGCAACGAUGGUUAGCUGGUCUGAGAGGAUGAUCAGCCACACUGGUACUGGAACACGGACCAGACUCCUACGGGAGGCAGCAGUGGGGAAUAUUGCGCAAUGGGGGAAACCCUGACGCAGCAACGCCGCGUGAGUGAUGAAGGCCUUCGGGUCGUAAAGCUCUGUCAGAGGGAAAGAAGGCACCGAGGUUAAUACCCUUGAAUGCUUGACGGUACCCUCAAAGGAAGCACCGGCUAACUCCGUGCCAGCAGCCGCGGUAAUACGGAGGGUGCAAGCGUUGUUCGGAAUCACUGGGCGUAAAGGGCGCGUAGGCUGCCGCUUAAGUCAGAUGUGAAAUCCCACGGCUUAACCGUGGAACUGCAUUUGAAACUGGGUGGCUUGAGUACGGGAGAGGGAAGUGGAAUUCCAGGUGUAGAGGUGAAAUUCGUAGAUAUCUGGAGGAACACCAGUGGCGAAGGCGGCUUCCUGGACCGAUACUGAGCUGAGGGCGAAAGCGUGGGUAGCAAACAGGAUUAGAUACCCUAGUAGUCC